AACGCACGAGACCUGCGGACCUGCGGAGGGAUCAUUAUAGAGUUUUUAACUCCCAAACCCAUGUGAACUUACCUUUGUUGCCUCGGCGGAGCCUACCCGGUACCUACCCUGUAGCGCCCCGCCGGUGGACUUCUAAACUAUUGUUAUUUUAAUGAUAUCUGAGAGUCUUAUUUUAAUAAGUCAAAACUUUCAACAACGGAUCUCU
rnacentral:misc_RNA from 1 species